rnacentral:rRNA from 1 species
GUCCACGCUGUAAACGAUGUGUGCUAGACGUUGGGGAGCCUAGCUCUUCGGUGUCGCAGCUAACGCGGUAAGCACACCGCCUGGGGAGUACGGCCGCAAGGUUAAAACUCAAAGGAAUUGACGGGGGCCCGCACAAGCGGUGGAGCAUGUGGUUUAAUUCGACGCAACGCGAAGAACCUUACCAGCCCUUGACAUGUCCGGUGUGGUCCGUGGAGACGCGGACCUUCAGUUCGGCUGGCCGGAGCACAGGUGCUGCAUGGCUGUCGU